rnacentral:rRNA from 1 species
UACGUAGGGUGCGAGCGUUGUCCGGAAUUAUUGGGCGUAAAGGGCUCGUAGGCGGUUUGUCGCGUCGGGAGUGAAAACCUCGGGCUUAACUCGGGGCUUGCUUUCGAUACGGGCAGACUGGAGGUAUGCAGGGGAGAACGGAAUUCCUGGUGUAGCGGUGGAAAUGACGCGAGAUAUCUGAGGGAAGGAACCGUGCCCGG